rnacentral:rRNA from 1 species
CCUACGGGAGGCAGCAGUGGGGAAUCUUGCGCAAUGGGCGAAAGCCUGACGCAGCCAUGCCGCGUGAAUGAUGAAGGUCUUAGGAUUGUAAAAUUCUUUCAGUAGGGACGAUAAUGACGGUACCUACAGAAGAAGCCCCGGCUAACUUCGUGCCAGCAGCCGCGGUAAUACGAAGGGGGCUAGCGUUGCUCGGAAUUACUGGGCGUAAAGGGAGCGUAGGCGGGUUAUCAAGUUGGAGGUGAAAGCCCAGGGCUCAACCUUGGAAUUGCCUUCAAAACUGAUAGCCUAGAGUAUGAUAGAGGUAAGUGGAACUCCGAGUGUAGAGGUGAAAUUCGUAGAUAUUCGGAAGAACACCAGUGGCGAAGGCGACUUACUGGAUCAUGACUGACGCUGAGGCUCGAAAGCGUGGGGAGCAAACAGGAUUAGAUACCCUGGUAGUCCACGCUGUAAACGAUGAUUGCUAGUUGUCGGACGGCAUGCCGUUCGGUGACGCAGCUAACGCAUUAAGCAAUCCGCCUGGGGAGUACGGUCGCAAGNUUAAAACUCAAAGGAAUUGACGG